AGGCACGUUUCGUUGUCCUGUUCUCUGUGCUAGUGAGAACCGAGAUAUUUCUAAUGUGCUAGAUAAAGAAUGGAGGUAAAUUAGCAGUGCGGCUUCACAGUGCCAUUGCUGCCAGUCCCCUUCAGACAGUU